rnacentral:rRNA from 1 species
UAAAGUUCCAACGGUAUAACAUGAGCAUGCGUCCUAUUAGUUAUUUGGUGUGGUAACGGCACACCAACACGAUGAUAGGUAGGGGUCCUGAGAGGGAGAUCCCCCACACUGGUACUGAGACACGGACCAGACUCCUACCGGAGGCAGCAGUGAGGAAUAUUGGACAAUGGGCGCAGGCCUGAUCCAGCCAUGCCGCGUGCAGGAAGACGGUCCUAUGGAUUGUAAACUGCUUUUAUACAGGAAGAAACACUCCCUCGUGAGGGAUCUUGACGGUACUGUAAGAAUAAGGAUCGGCUAACUCCGUGCCAUCAGCCGCGGUAAUACGGAGGAUCCAAGCGUUAUCCGGAAUCAUUGGGUUUAAAGGGUCCGUAGGCGGCCUUAUAAGUCAGUGGUGAAAUCUCCUAGCUCACUAGGAAAUGGCCUUGAUACUGUAGGGCUUGAAUUAUU